rnacentral:rRNA from 1 species
GAUGAACGCUAGCGGCGGGCUUAAUACAUGCAAGUCGAGGGGCAGCAGUCCCGCAGCAAUGCGGGAGCUGGCGACCGGCAAACGGGUGCGGAACACGUACAGAACCUUCCUUCGAGCGGGGAAUAGCCCAGAGAAAUUUGGAUUAAUACCCCAUAGCAUUACGAAGUGGCAUCACUUUGUAAUUAAAGAUUUAUCACUCGAAGAUGGCUGUGCGGCUGAUUAGGAGUUGGCGGAGUAACGGCCCACCAAGCCUUCGAUCAGUAACUGGUGUGAGAGCACGACCAGUCACACGGGCACUGAGACACGGGCCCGACUCCUACGGGAGGCAGCAGUAAGGAAUAUUGGUCAAUGGACGAAAGUCUGAACCA